CCUCCACAAUUAACACCAGGGUCCCCACCUCCACUCCAUCCUCCGAUGACAUCGUCGACACGACGCCGUUGCUUUCCGCUUCCUCCCAUGGCGAAUCCGGGAAUAAUUCCGACCGUAGAUUCCCCCGCCAUCAAGCCCUCCGCGAUGCCGCGCGGUUCUUUCGUCGCGCCAGCAGUCGUCGCUUGAUGCGGGAGCCUUCGAUGCUGGUGCGCGAGACGGCCGCGGAGCAGCUCGAGGAGCGGCAGAGCGACUGGGCUUAUUCGAAGCCUGUGGUGAUUCUCGACAUCAUCUGGAACUUCGCGUUUGUGGCAGUGGCUGUGGCGGUGCUGAUAUUAAGCAG
rnacentral:misc_RNA from 1 species